UUGAAGGUAAAUUGAUUAUGUUUGGAUACACUUUAAUAGAAGUGAUUCUAAUGAGUUGAUGUUGUUUGGAUAG
rnacentral:pre_miRNA from 1 species